rnacentral:snRNA from 1 species
AAGCAAAUUUUGUUUGUUUUG